GGAGAGGUGGCUGAGUGGUCGAAGGCACCGCACUCGAAAUGCGGCGUCCGGGUAACCGGACCGUGGGUUCGAAUCCCACCCUCUCCGCCA
rnacentral:tRNA from 1 species